rnacentral:tRNA from 1 species
AAUUUAUUAGUUUAUUAUAAAAACAUUAUAUUUUCAAUAUAAAAAUAAAUUUUUCUAUUUAUAAAUUA